AGAGGUAGUAGGUUGCAUAGUUUUAGGGCAGAGAUUUUGCUCACAAGGAGUUAACUAUACAACCUGCUGCCUUUC
rnacentral:pre_miRNA from 1 species